rnacentral:rRNA from 1 species
GACGAACGCUGGCGGCGUGCUUAACACAUGCAAGUCGAACGGAAAGGCCCUGCUUGCAGGGUACUCGAGUGGCGAACGGGUGAGUAACACGUGGGUGAUCUGCCCUGCACUUCGGGAUAAGCCUGGGAAACUGGGUCUAAUACCGGAUAGGAGCCAUUUUUAGUGUGAUGGUUGGAAAGUUUUUUCGGGGUAGGAUGAGCUCGCGGCCUAUCAGCUUGUUGGUGGGGUAAUGGCCUACCAAGGCGGCGACGGGUAGCCGGCCCGAGAGGGUGGACGGCCAAAGUGGGUAUGGGAUAACGCCCAGGCCCAGUCGGGGGGCAGCAGGGGGGAAAAUUGGAACAUGGGCCGGAGCAUGAUGCAACGACGCCGAGUGGGGGAUGACGGGCCUCGGGUUGUAAACUCCGUUCCCUAGGGACGAAGAUUUUUGUGACGGUACCUAGAUAAGAAGCACCGGCUAACUACGUG